rnacentral:rRNA from 1 species
CCUAGGGGAGGCAGCAGUGAGGAAUAUUGGUCAAUGGUCGGGAGCCUGAACCAGCCAAGCCGCGUGAGGGAUGAAGGUACAGAGUAUCGUAAACCUCUUUUGUCAGGGAACAAAGGCGGGGCCGCGUCCCCGGAUGAGUGUCCCUGAAGAAAAAGCCUCGGCUAACUCCGUGCCAGCAGCCGCGGUAAUACGGAGGAUGCGAGCGUUAUCCGGAUUUUCUGGGUGUAACGGGGGCGUAGACGGCUGUGCAAGUCUGAAGUGAAAGCCCGUGUGUCAACCGCGGAACUGCUUUGGAAACUGUAUAGCUUGAGUAAUGGAGAGGCAGGCGGAAUUCCUAGUGUAGCGGUGAAAUGCGUAGAUAUUAGGAGGAACGCCAGUGGCGAAGGCGGCCUGCUGGACAGAAACUGACGUUGAGGCUCGAAAGCGUGGGGAUCAAACAGGAUUAGAUACCCGGGUAGUC